rnacentral:rRNA from 1 species
AGCUCCAUUAGCGUAUAUUAAAGUUGUUGCAGUUAAAAAGCUCGUAGUUGGAUUUCAGUACGGGCCAGUCGGUCGGCCGCAAGGCCUGCUACUGGCUGGUCUGUUCUUCUUCUCAAAGACUGCGUGUGCUCUUCGCUGAGUGUGCGUAGGAUUUGGGACGUUUACUUUGAAAAAAUUAGAGUGUUCAAGGCAGGCUUGUAAGCUUGAAUACAUGAGCAUGGAAUAAUGGAAUAGGACUACGGUCCCUAUUUCGUUGGUUUCGAGGACCGAAGUAAUGAUUAAGAGGGACAGUUGGGGGCAUUCGUAUUUAAUUGUCAGAGGUGAAAUUCUCGGAUUUAUGAAAGACGAACGACUGCGAAAGCAUUUGCCAAGGAUGUUUUCAUUAAUCAAGAACGAAAGU